rnacentral:rRNA from 2 species
AAAUUUUAAAAUUAUAAUACUAAAAUAGUAAAUAAUUAUUUAUUAAAACUUAAAUAAUUUGGCGGUAUUUUAGUUCAUUUAGAGGAAUCUGUUUAAUAAUUGAUAUUCCACGAAUAAAUUUACUUAAUUUUUAAUUUUGUAUAUCGUUGUUAUAAAAAUAUUUUUUAAUAAAAUUAAUAUUUAAAAAUUAUUAUAAAAAUUUAAAUCAGAUCAAGAUGCAGAUUAUAAUUAAGAAUAUAAUGGAUUACAAUAAAAUUAUUUAAAUGAAUAUUAAUUUGUAAGAUUUAAUUGAAAGUGGAUUUAAAUGUAAUUUUAUUUAAUUUAAUAAAAUGAUUAAAAAUUAAAAUAUGU